rnacentral:rRNA from 1 species
UACAGAGGUCCCAAGCGUUGUUCGGAUUCACUGGGCGUAAAGGGUGCGUAGGUGGUUAGGUAAGUCCGAUGUGAAAUCUCCAGGCUCAACCUGGAAAUGGCAUUGGAUACUAUCUAGCUUGAGGAGUGGAGGGGGGACUGGAAUUCUCGGUGUAGCAGUGAAAUGCGUAGAUAUCGAGAGGAACACCAGUGGCGAAGGCGAGUCCCUGGACACUUCCUGACGCUGAGGCACGAAAGCUAGGGGAGCAAACAGG